UAGCUAGUUGGUGAGGUAACGGCUUACCAAGGCGACGAUCUGUAGCGGGUCUGAGAGGAUGAUCCGCCACACUGGAACUGAGACACGGUCCAGACUCCUACGGGAGGCAGCAGUGGGGAAUUUUGGACAAUGGGGGCAACCCUGAUCCAGCCAUGCCGCGUGAGUGAAGAAGGCCUUCGGGUUGUAAAGCUCUUUCGGCCGGGAAGAAAUCGCAUGGGCCAAUACCCUGUGUGGAUGACGGUACCGGAAUAAGAAGCACCGGCUAACUACGUGCCAGCAGCCGCGGUAAUACGUAGGGUGCGAGCGUUAAUCGGAAUUACUGGGCGUAAAGCGUGCGCAGGCGGUUUUGUAAGACAGGCGUGAAAUCCCCGGGCUCAACCUGGGAACUGCGUUUGUGACUGCAAGGCUAGAGUACGGCAGAGGGGGGUGGAAUUCCACGUGUAGCAGUGAAAUGCGUAGAGAUGGGGAGGAACACCAAUGGCGAAGGCAGCCCCCUGGGUCGAUACUGACGCUCAUGCACGAAAGCGUGGGUAGCAAACAGGAUUAGAUACCCUGGUAGUCCACGCCCUAAACUAUGUCAACUAGGUGUUGGGUGGGUAAAACCAUUUAGUACCGUAGCUAACGCGUGAAGUUGACCGCCUGGGGAGUACGGCCGCAAGGUUAAAACUCAAAGGAAUUGACGGGGACCCGCACAAGCGGUGGAUGAUGUGGAUUAAUUCGAUGCAACGCGAAAAACCUUACCUACCCUUGACAUGCCAGGAACUUGCCAGAGAUGGCUUGGUGCCCGAAAGGGAGCCUGGACACAGGUGCUGCAUGGCUGUCGUCAGCUCGUGUCGUGAGAUGUUGGGUUAAGUCCCGCAACGAGCGCAACCCUUGUCGUUAAUUGCCAUCAUUUAGUUGGGCACUUUAGCGAGACUGCCGGUGACAAACCGGAGGAAGGUGGGGAUGACGUCAAGUCCUCAUGGCCCUUAUGGGUAGGGCUUCACACGUCAUACAAUGGUCGGUACAGAGGGUCGCCAAGCCGCGAGGUGGAGCCAAUCCCAGAAAGCCGAUCGUAGUCCGGAUUGCAGGCUGCAACUCGCCUGCAUGAAGUCGGAAUCGCUAAUAAUCGUGGAUCAGCAUGUCACGGUGAAUACGUUCCCGGGUCUUGUACACACCGCCCGUCACACCAUGGGAGCGGGUUCCGCCAGAAGUAGGUAGCCUAACCGCAAGGAGGGCGCUUACCACGGCGGGGUUCGUGACUGGGGUGAAGUCGUAACAAGGUAGCCGUAGGGGAACCUGCGGCUG
rnacentral:rRNA from 1 species